CCUACGGGAGGUAGCAGUGGGGAAUUGUUCGCAAUGGGCGCAAGCCUGACGACGCAACGCCGCGUGGAGGAUGAAGACCUUCGGGUCGUAAACUCCUUUCGAUCGAGACGAAUGUUUUCCGGGUGAACAAUCCGGAAAAGUGACGGUACCGAGAGAAGAAGCCCCGGCUAACUCUGUGCCAGCAGCCGCGGUAAUACAGGGGGGGCAAGCGUUGUUCGGAAUUACUGGGCGUAAAGGGCUUGUAGGUGGCCAACUAAGUCAGACGUGAAAUCCCUCAGCUUAACUGGGGAACUGCGUCUGAUACUGGAUGGCUUGAGUUUGGGAGAGGGAUGCGGAAUUCCAGGUGUAGCGGUGAAAUGCGUAGAUAUCUGGAGGAACACCGGUGGCGAAGGCGGCAUCCUGGACCAACACUGACACUGAGGAGCGAAAGCCAGGGGAGCAAACGGGGAUUAGAUACCCCGGUAGUCCUGGCCCUAAACGAUGAAUAGCUGUGUGGCGGUAGUCGAUCCUCGUCGUCGCGACGACUACGACAUAAGACAUCCGUCCGUCGGGAGGUACGGUCGCGAGACGUGAACGUACGAAAGAAGUUAGACGGCGUGAGACGUGCCGACGGACGACGACGAGGGAGGUUAGG
rnacentral:rRNA from 1 species